GUGAGUCAUCGAAUCUUUGAACGCACAUUGCGCCCUUUGGCAUUCCGAAGGGCAUGCCUGUUCGAGCGUCAUGAUCAAAUCUCAAGCUUUGCUUGGUAUUGGGUUUUCGUCUGACAUGUUUUUUGUACCAUGUAGUGACGUGCCUGAAAAUCAGUUGCGGUAUCUCAAUAGACUCAAGCGUAGCAGACUGACUCGCUUUGGAGAACUGUUGCAGGUUCCGUUUAAAAUAACAAGUUGGACCUCGGAUCAGGUAGGGAUACCCGCUGAACUUAAGCAUAUCAAUAAGCGGAGGA
rnacentral:misc_RNA from 1 species